AACGAACGCUGGCGGCAGGCCUAACACAUGCAAGUCGAGCGCACCCUUCGGGGUGAGCGGCGGACGGGUGAGUAACGCGUGGGAACGUGCCCUUCUCUGCGGAAUAGCCUCGGGAAACUGAGAGUAAUACCGCAUACGCCCUUUGGGGGAAAGAUUUAUCGGAGAAGGAUCGGCCCGCGUUGGAUUAGGUAGUUGGUGGGGUAAUGGCCCACCAAGCCGACGAUCCAUAGCUGGUUGAGAGGAUGAUCAGCCACACUGGGACUGAGACACGGCCCAGACUCCUACGGGAGGCAGCAGUGGGGAAUCUUAGACAAUGGGGGCAACCCUGAUCUAGCCAUGCCGCGUGAGUGAUGAAGGCCUUAGGGUUGUAAAGCUCUUUCAGCUGGGAAGAUAAUGACGGUACCAGCAGAAGAAGCCCCGGCUAACUCCGUG
rnacentral:rRNA from 1 species